rnacentral:tRNA from 5 species
GCGGGUAUAGUUCAUCGGUAGAAUGCUAGCUUCCCAAGCUGGAUAGAGGAGUUCGACUCUCCUUACCCGCU